rnacentral:piRNA from 1 species
UGCUGAGUCCUCAGAAUUUAUCUUUUCAGU